CUGGAGAGGCUGCAGCUCUCUCCCCACCACUGCGCUGCAUUUUCUCCACCACGUGUAAAAAUCUCACGCAGGUGGCACCCCACAAGAGGGUCUGCAAGUUUGCAGCUCCAGGCUGGCUGAAAAACAACUUUACGUUUGCAGAGGCUGGAAGUCCAAAGUCCAGGGGACACAUCUGGUGAAGGCUUUCUUUGGUGGUGACUUCAGUGACAGCAGAGUAUCACACUGCAAGAUGGUGGAAGCAGAGACUAAUUUCCUCAUCACCCCUGCUCGAGGGAGGUUCAAGGAGAUUGGCGAGAAGGAGACAGCAGGUGCUUUCUGGGAUGCUUGUAUCCGAAUAAAACAAGUGGGAUAUUAAAGCCCUCUGAAGAAUUUGCCAUUUCCUUUCUGUUCGAUAACCAGGAUCUGGUUUCAGACCUGCCACAGUGUCACCUCAGCAACACUUUCCUGCUCAGUGCUUGUCCCCCAGUUGACCUUUGUCCUG